rnacentral:rRNA from 1 species
UGGAAAAGGAUGUGGGAUUUCGAAGACAGCUAGGAUGUUGGCUUAGAAGCAGCCACACAUUCAAAGAGUGCGUAAUAGCUCACUAGUCGAGAGGUCCUGCGCCGAAAAUUAACGGGGCUAAAACAUGACACCGAAGCUUAGGGAUGGUGUAAACCAUCGGUAGAGGAGCAUUGAAAACGAGAUGAAGCGGUACCGAAAGGAGCCGUGGAUUGUUUUGAAGAGAGAAUGCCGGAAUGAGUAGCGAGAUGGAGGUGAGAAUCCUCCAGGCCGAAUAUCUAAGGUUUCCAGGGUAAAGCUGAUCUGCCCUGGGUAAGUCGGGGCCUAAGGCGAGGCGGAGACGCGUAGUCGAUGGACAACUGGUGUAGAUUCCAGUACCUUACUAAAUCAGAAAUGUGGGGACACAUGGAGAAAGAGAGAGCCGGGAAUGAGAAGACCGGUGCAAGGGAGGUAGGAGUGUAGUAGGAAAAGCCGCUACAUAAUCUGAAGACCCGAUGCGGAUCGAACUAAAGUAGAGAAGCUCUUCGACUCUGUGGCGAGAAAAGCCGCUAUAGUGUUUAGUAAGCCCGUACCGCAAACCGACACAGGUAGAUGAGGAGAGAAUCCUAAGGCCGGCGGGAGAAGCAUUGUUAAGGAACUCGGCAAAAUGACCCCGUAACUUCGGGAGAAGGGGUGCCCAGGCAACUGGGCCGCAGAGAAAAGGCUCAAGCAACUGUUUAGCAAAAACACAGGUCUAUGCGAAACCGUAAGGUGAGGUAUAUGGGCUGACGCCUGCCCGGUGCUGGAAGGUUAAGAGGAGAGGUUAGCGCAAGCGAAGCUUUGAAUUGAAGCCCCAGUAAACGGCGGCCGUAACUAUAACGGUCCUAAGGUAGCGAAAUUCCUUGUCGGGUAAGUUCCGACCCGCACGAAAGGCGUAACGAUUUGGGCACUGUCUCAACGAUGGACUCGGUGAAAUCAUAGUACCUGUGAAGAUGCAGGUUACCCGCGACAGGACGGAAAGACCCCAUGGAGCUUUACUGUAGUUUGAUAUUGAGUGUUUGUGUCACAUGUACAGGAUAGGUAGGAGCUGAAGAAUCCGGGACGCCAGUUUCGGAGGAGGCAACGGUGGGAUACUACCCUUGUGACAUGACCACUCUAACCCGCACCCCUUACCGGGGUGGGAGACAGUGUCAGACGGGCAGUUUGACUGGGGCGGUCGCCUCCUAAAAUGUAACGGAGGCGCCCAAAGGUUCCCUCAGAAUGGUUGGAAAUCAUUCGUAGAGUGUAAAGGCAGAAGGGAGCUUGACUGCGAGACCUACAAGUCGAGCAGGGACGAAAGUCGGGCUUAGUGAUCCGGUGGUUCCGUAUGGAAGGGCCAUCGCUCAACGGAUAAAAGCUACCCUGGGGAUAACAGGCUUAUC